UUGUCCUACGGGGCGCAGCAGUGAGGAAUAUUGGUCAAUGGGCGGAAGCCUGAACCAGCCAAGUCGCGUGAGGGAAUAAGGCCCUACGGGUCGUAAACCUCUUUUGCCGGGGAGCAAAGGCGGGGACUAGUCCCCGGAUGAGGGUACCUGAAGAAAAAGCAUCGGCUAACUCCGUGCCAGCAGCCGCGGUAAUACGGAGGAUGCGAGCGUUAUCCGGAUUUAUUGGGUUUAAAGGGUGCGCAGGCGGCCUGUUAAGUCAGCGGUAAAAGCCCGGGGCUCAACCCCGGCGAGCCGUUGAAACUGGC
rnacentral:rRNA from 1 species